UACGGAGGAUGCAAGCGUUAUCCGGAAUGAUUGGGCGUAAAGCGUCUGUAGGUGGUUUAUUAAGUCUACUGUUAAAGAUCAGGGCUUAACCCUGAGCCGGCAGUGGAAACUAAUAAGCUUGAGUACGGUAGGGGCAGAGGGAAUUUCCGGUGGAGCGGUGAAAUGCGUAGAGAUCGGAAAGAACACCAACGGCGAAAGCACUCUGCUGGGCCGACACUGACACUGAGAGACGAAAGCUAGGGGAGCGAAUGGG
rnacentral:rRNA from 1 species